AUCUACUACGCAAAAUUUUAAAAUUUGGCACACAGUUCUCUGUUAAAUCCUUUCCUAUGACACUACAACAAAAACGGUCUAUAGCGACACUUUUAAAUGUAGGUACAUGUCAAAAAAGUGCUGCUAGCUAAAAUUACCGACACUUUUAAAAAGUGUUGCUAUAUGUGGGGUCGCUAGGUAUAUAGUGAUAGUUAAAGAGUGUCGCUAUAACCUAAAAGAGUCCUGCUAAUUUACCAACACUUAUUUAAGCAUUUAGCAACCGCCAAAACUCUAUCUCGUUGGCUGCGGUGGCGGAGGAGAACGACAGUAAAGGCUCUUCGUCUAGAAUUUCAGUAGAUUGAGUGAAGAGAGAAUAAAAGAUGGUAAUUGAUUUUUNNN
rnacentral:lncRNA from 1 species